rnacentral:misc_RNA from 1 species
GAUGAAGAACGCAGCGAAAUGCGAUAAGUAAUGUGAAUUGCAGAUUUCCAGUGAAUCAUCGAAUCUUUGAACGCACCUUGCGCCCCUUGGUAUUCCGAGGGGCAUGCCUGUUUGAGUGUCAUUAAACCAUCAAGCUCUGCUUGGUAUUGGGCCCCGCCAGUUCUGGCGGGCCCUAAAGUCAGUGGCGGUGCCUUCCGGCUCCGAGCGUAGUAAUUCUUCUCGCUCUGGAGACCCGGUUGUGUGCUUGCCAACAACCCCCAAUUUUUUAAGGUUGACCUCGGAUCAGGUAGGGAUACCCGCUGAACUUAAGCAUAUCAAUAAGCGGAGGA